GGGUUGUGAGGUUAAGCGACUAAGCGUACACGGUGGAUGCCCUGGCAGUCAGAGGCGAUGAAGGGCGUGCUAAUCUGCGAUAAGCGCCGGUAAGGUGAUAUGAACCGUUAUAACCGGCGAUACCCGAAUGGGGAAACCCAGUGUGACUCGUCACACUAUCAUUAACUGAAUCCAUAGGUUAAUGAGGCGAACCGGGGGAACUGAAACAUCUAAGUACCCCGAGGAAAAGAAAUCAACCGAGAUUCCCCCAGUAGCGGCGAGCGAACGGGGAGGAGCCCAGAGCCUGAAUCAGCAUGUGUGUUAGUGGAAGCGUCUGGAAAGGCGCGCGAUACAGGGUGACAGCCCCGUACACAAAAGCGCAUGUGCUGUGAGCUCGAUGAGUAGGGCGGGACACGUGGUAUCCUGUCUGAAUAUGGGGGGACCAUCCUCCAAGGCUAAAUACUCCUGACUGACCGAUAGUGAACCAGUACCGUGAGGGAAAGGCGAAAAGAACCCCGGCGAGGGGAGUGAAAAAGAACCUGAAACCGUGUACGUACAAGCAGUGGGAGCCCCACCACCAAAGCAUUAUCUGGUGUUGAAGGCCCUGCAAAGCAGCAUCGCGGUGGCGGAGCGUCGUUUGCGACGCCCAACACACAAAACAAGCGGUGAAUGCUUUGGGGUGGGGUGACUGCGUACCUUUUGUAUAAUGGGUCAGCGACUUAUAUUCUGUAGCAAGGUUAACCGAAUAGGGGAGCCGGAGGGAAACCGAGUCUUAAUUGGGCGUUAAGUUGCAGGGUAUAGACCCGAAACCCGGUGAUCUAGCCAUGGGCAGGUUGAAGGUUGGGUAACACUAACUGGAGGACCGAACCGACUAAUGUUGAAAAAUUAGCGGAUGACCUGUGGCUGGGGGUGAAAGGCCAAUCAAACCGGGAGAUAGCUGGUUCUCCCCGAAAGCUAUUUAGGUAGCGCCUCGUGAAUUCAUCUCCGGGGGUAGAGCACUGUUUCGGCUAGGGGGCCAUCCCGGCUUACCAACCCGAUGCAAACUGCGAAUACCGGAGAAUGUUAUCACGGGAGACACACGGCGGGUGCUAACGUCCGUCGUGAAGAGGGAAACAACCCAGACCGCCAGCUAAGGUCCCAAAGUCAUGGUUAAGUGGGAAACGAUGUGGGAAGGCCCAGACAGCCAGGAUGUUGGCUUAGAAGCAGCCAUCAUUUAAAGAAAGCGUAAUAGCUCACUGGUCGAGUCGGCCUGCGCGGAAGAUGUAACGGGGCUAAACCAUGCACCGAAGCUGCGGCAGCGACGCUGAUGCGUUGUUGGGUAGGGGAGCGUUCUGUAAGCCUGCGAAGGUGACCUGUGAGGGUUGCUGGAGGUAUCAGAAGUGCGAAUGCUGACAUAAGUAACGAUAAAGCGGGUGAAAAGCCCGCUCGCCGGAAGACCAAGGGUUCCUGUCCAACGUUAAUCGGGGCAGGGUGAGUCGACCCCUAAGGCGAGGCCGAAAGGCGUAGUCGAUGGGAAACGGGUUAAUAUUCCCGUACUUGGUGUUACUGCGAAGGGGGGACGGAGAAGGCUAUGUUGGCCGGGCGACGGUUGUCCCGGUUUAAGCGUGUAGGUGUGUGUUCCAGGUAAAUCCGGUUCACUUUAACACUGAGGCGUGACGACGAGGGCACUACGGUGCUGAAGCAACAAAUGCCCUGCUUCCAGGAAAAGCCUCUAAGCAUCAGGUAACAUCAAAUCGUACCCCAAACCGACACAGGUGGUCAGGUAGAGAAUACCAAGGCGCUUGAGAGAACUCGGGUGAAGGAACUAGGCAAAAUGGUGCCGUAACUUCGGGAGAAGGCACGCUGACACGUAGGUGAAGUGAUUUACUCAUGGAGCUGAAGUCAGUCGAAGAUACCAGCUGGCUGCAACUGUUUAUUAAAAACACAGCACUGUGCAAACACGAAAGUGGACGUAUACGGUGUGACGCCUGCCCGGUGCCGGAAGGUUAAUUGAUGGGGUCAGCGCAAGCGAAGCUCCUGAUCGAAGCCCCGGUAAACGGCGGCCGUAACUAUAACGGUCCUAAGGUAGCGAAAUUCCUUGUCGGGUAAGUUCCGACCUGCACGAAUGGCGUAAUGAUGGCCAGGCUGUCUCCACCCGAGACUCAGUGAAAUUGAACUCGCUGUGAAGAUGCAGUGUACCCGCGGCAAGACGGAAAGACCCCGUGAACCUUUACUAUAGCUUGACACUGAACAUUGAGCCUUGAUGUGUAGGAUAGGUGGGAGGCUUUGAAGUGUGGACGCCAGUCUGCAUGGAGCCGACCUUGAAAUACCACCCUUUAAUGUUUGAUGUUCUAACGUGGACCCGUAAUCCGGGUUGCGGACAGUGUCUGGUGGGUAGUUUGACUGGGGCGGUCUCCUCCUAAAGAGUAACGGAGGAGCACGAAGGUUGGCUAAUCCUGGUCGGACAUCAGGAGGUUAGUGCAAUGGCAUAAGCCAGCUUGACUGCGAGCGUGACGGCGCGAGCAGGUGCGAAAGCAGGUCAUAGUGAUCCGGUGGUUCUGAAUGGAAGGGCCAUCGCUCAACGGAUAAAAGGUACUCCGGGGAUAACAGGCUGAUACCGCCCAAGAGUUCAUAUCGACGGCGGUGUUUGGCACCUCGAUGUCGGCUCAUCACAUCCUGGGGCUGAAGUAGGUCCCAAGGGUAUGGCUGUUCGCCAUUUAAAGUGGUACGCGAGCUGGGUUUAGAACGUCGUGAGACAGUUCGGUCCCUAUCUGCCGUGGGCGCUGGAGAACUGAGGGGGGCUGCUCCUAGUACGAGAGGACCGGAGUGGACGCAUCACUGGUGUUCGGGUUGUCAUGCCAAUGGCACUGCCCGGUAGCUAAAUGCGGAAGAGAUAAGUGCUGAAAGCAUCUAAGCACGAAACUUGCCCCGAGAUGAGUUCUCCCUGAGACUUUAGGUCUCCUGAAGGAACGUUGAAGACGACGACGUUGAUAGGCCGGGUGUGUAAGCGCAGCGAUGCGUUGAGCUAACCGGUACUAAUGAACCGUGAGGCUUAACCUUACAACGCCGAAG
rnacentral:rRNA from 1 species